rnacentral:miRNA from 1 species
CCUGCCUGCAGAAAGGAGCUACCCACUCCAGGUCUCCUCUCCACUGAGAGCUGGACUUGUUGGGAUGACCUGCCUGUGGAAAGG